AAUGAACGCUGGCGGCAGGCCUAACACAUGCAAGUCGAACGGCAGCACGGACUUCGGUCUGGUGGCGAGUGGCGAACGGGUGAGUAAUGUAUCGGAACGUGCCCAGUCGUGGGGGAUAACGUAGUGAAAAUUACGCUAAUACCGCAUACGAUCUAUGGAUGAAAGCGGGGGAUCGCAAGACCUCGCGCGAUUGGAGCGGCCGAUAGCAGAUUAGGUAGUUGGUGGGGUAAAGGCCCACCAAGCCAACGAUCUGUAGCUGGACUGGGAGGACGACCGGCCACACUGGAACUGAGACACGGUCCAGACUCCUGCGGGAGGCAGCAGUGGGGAAGUUUGGACAAUGGGCGAAAGCCUGAUUCAGCCAUUCCGCGUGCAGGAUGAAGGCCCUCGGGUUGUAAACUGCUUUUGUACAGAACGAAAAGGUUUCUACUAAUACUAGGAGCUCAUGACGGUACUGUAAGAAUAAGCACCGGCUAACUACGUGCCAGCAGCCGCCGUAA
rnacentral:rRNA from 1 species